UUGAAAGGCAUCUUUAAUAAUCAAAGGAGCAAUCCGCUAUGAGAUGGGCCCGCGGCGCAUUAGCUAGUUGGUGAGGUAACGGCUCACCAAGGCGACGAUGCGUAGCCGACCUGAGAGGGUGAUCGGCCACAUUGGAACUGAGACACGGUCCAGACUCCUACGGGAGGCAGCAGUGGGGAAUAUUGCACAAUGGGGGAAACCCUGAUGCAGCAACGCCGCGUGAGUGAUGAAGGUCUUCGGAUUGUAAAGCUCUGUCUUUAGGGACGAUAAUGACGGUACCUAAGGAGGAAGCCACGGCUAACUACGUGC
rnacentral:rRNA from 1 species